AAUCGCGACAAAUUCGGAAACUUCUCUUGUUUUCGAAAUCAUCGAGAAUGUUGUCGAUUCUGGAGAAAUUGUUUUCGAUAACGAAACAAAUUGUUUCCAAAAUCGCAAACAUCGUGUUUUCGGUGUAUUUUUCUGCCUUUGCUCGCCGCAGCAGGCCGCAGCCAAUGCGUUACGCGACGUCAAAGUCAGCUGGACGCGCUCUGCAAGCAAAAUCAAAACAAACAAAAAUCGCGCAAAAAUAUUCAAUAUUCGGUGUGGAGCAGGUUUCGGAGAUUAUGGUCCCAUAGAAUCCGACCACGUUUACCCGGACAAGAAGCUGUCCGUGAAGGCGGCGGGGAGGAAGGGUGCUAACAGUUCUUCUCGGUUCUACGCGGAGCUGACUCCGAGUCGAAAAGGCGCAUCAGAACCGCCGGAAGAUGCUGAAUCUGUUUUAGGUGAUCCAUUUUCUGAAGCCCAGUCUGUGCGUACGGAUCGUAAAGUAGACCAGUUGACCGAGUGUUGAAUGCUGACCUCAAAAUAAGCAGCACAGCAUCAAGAACGAUCAAACCUCACUAGUUUGACAAACUCUACUAGAUCGACCAUGAGAGAGAACAUGACGAGUUCUUCGGGAGGAUCAACGAGGACUUCUUUGGAAUCUGCUGCAAACUGAAAUCGCUUUUCGCUGCAACUUCUGAAGUGUUGCUCAAUCUGCACACUUUGGCUGGUCGUUUUGGUCGAUUGAUCUCAAGCCGAUGCACGUGAUUGGUGAAAACGGUCGAGCUGAAGUAGAUUCCUACACGCUUUGCGGCGUAAAUCUGUACGCUUUGUCGCCUCAAUUCUAUCGGGUACACUCCACUUCCACCGACCCAAGGUUUCCCGGUAGAUAUUAUGCACAUGGAGCAGCUCGCGAUUCACGCAAAAGUCGAGAUCGGUUGCAUUGUUCCUAAUAAUGAAGCUUUUCUUCAAAAAAUUUAUCUGUCCACGUCCAGCUGUCUGAGCUCUGUCCACGACCAACGGGUGCAAGCUAUAUUCCUUCUCAUUAUCCCGAAAACCUAUGGCAGCCUUGUCCGGUCCGCGUUCGGCACAGUUCGUCUAAUCAACGAUGAGUACUUCAGCUGUGGUUGAAAUUUUUUUUAUUAGUCUAAGAAGUCUGAGCUUAGUCUAAGCUUUAAUCAUUCUCAGGCUUAGUGAGUUUUCAUGCUGUUUCCUUUCCAUCUCUUCUUUUCCCUAGGGGACCAUCCAUAAACCACGUGGACACUUUUGUGGGAAUCUGUUA